rnacentral:rRNA from 1 species
AGUGAACGCUGGCGGUAGGCCUAACACAUGCAAGUCGAACGGCAGCACAGGAGAGCUUGCUCUCUGGGUGGCGAGUGGCGGACGGGUGAGGAAUACAUCGGAAUCUACUUUUUCGUGGGGGAUAACGUAGGGAAACUUACGCUAAUACCGCAUACGACCUACGGGUGAAAGCAGGGGACCUUCGGGCCUUGCGCGAUUGAAUGAGCCGAUGUCGGAUUAGCUAGUUGGCGGGGUAAAGGCCCACCAAGGCGACGAUCCGUAGCUGGUCGGAGGGGAUGAUCAGCCACACUGGAACUGGGACACGGUCCAGACUCCAACGGGAGGCAGCAGUGGGGAAUAUUGGACAAUGGGCGCAAGCCUGAUCCAGCCAUACCGCGUGGGUGAAGAAGGCCUUCGGGUUGUAAAGCCCUUUUGUUGGGAAAGAAAUCCAGCUGGCUAAUACCCGGUUGGGAUGACGGUACCCAAAGAAUAAGCACCGGCUAACUUCGUGCCAGCCGCCGCUGUAA